AUUGAACGCUGGCGGCAUGCUUUACACAUGCAAGUCGAACGGUAACAGGCCGCAAGGUGCUGACGAGUGGCGAACGGGUGAGUAAUGCAUCGGAACGUGCCCAGUCGUGGGGGAUAACUACUCGAAAGAGUAGCUAAUACCGCAUACGAUCUAUGGAUGAAAGCGGGGGACCGUAAGGCCUCGCGCGAUUGGAGCGGCCGAUGUCAGAUUAGGUAGUUGGUGGGGUAAAGGCUCACCAAGCCAACGAUCUGUAGCUGGUCUGAGAGGACGACCAGCCACACUGGGACUGAGACACGGCCCAGACUCCUACGGGAGGCAGCAGUGGGGAAUUUUGGACAAUGGGCGCAAGCCUGAUCCAGCAAUGCCACGUGCAGGAAGAAGGCCUUCGGGUUGUAAACUGCUUUUGUACGGAACGAAACGGCUCUGGUUAAUACCCGGGGCUAAUGACGGUACCGUAAGAAUAAGCACCGGCUAACUACGU
rnacentral:rRNA from 1 species